rnacentral:rRNA from 1 species
ACCGGAGUAGGUCAUUGGAAACUGGGAGACUGGAGUGCAGAAGAGGAGAGUGGAACUCCAUGUGUAGCGGUGAAAUGCGUAGAGAUAUGGAAGAACACCAGUGGCGAAAGCGGCUCUCUGGUCUGUAACUGACGCUGAGGUUCGAAAUCGUGGGUAGCAAA